UUUUUUUUUUGACAUACAAAACAUCUCACUAAUUAUUUUUGCAAAACUCACAUACACAAAUUUAGGCUUAUUUCGGUUUAUACAAAAUAUUUGGCAUAUAAAUUCACAUACACAAUUUGGCAUAUCAAAAUUAUCCGCUCUUUACUUGGCUGCUGGUGUACCAGGACAACGUUGCUGCCGUUCACUGCUGUUUGCUUGGCCUCGCUUUCCUCCUGUUCCUUUUUCUGGUGGCACCGUGUUUAUUAAUUAUUUAUUUAUUUUAUUUUAUUUUUUUUUUAUUAUUUUUAAACAAAAUUAUUUUCAUAUUCUUUUAUUUUUUUUUUUUUUAUUUAUUUAUUUACUUAGUCAUUAAUUUAUUCAUUUGUUUAUUCAAAUUUUUGCUUUUUUAAAUUAUUUAUUAAACUUUAUUUAUCAUUCUAAAUUAUGUCAAUUACCACAUGGUAAAAUUUAAAUUAUUUAAUGCCCAAAAAGGCGCAAGCCAGGGCCGACCGUGCAAGGGCUGUAUAGCCAGUCAAGGUCGUUAAAAACUUCCAU
rnacentral:lncRNA from 1 species